GGGAAAGUGUCAGUUGGAGGAUUCACCCGGGAAAAUGGGACAACACAUGAACAUGGUACUGGAACACAGAAGAGGUGACUUCAGUUUCUAGCUGCACAACAGCUGCCUCACAAUUGUGAAAGUGGAAGGUUCCCGAAAAGCAACAUCUGAGUUUGUCUUCUGAGCUCCACAUCUGCAUGCUGUGCACACAUCUACCCAUUGUUUGGGUGACAUUUCUCACUGUGUAUGAAGAUUUCCCUGGAUCAAAAAAGCUAAGGGCCUGGAAUGCCAACAGCAGAACCAAUGUGGUGGCCAGUGGUACAGCCUGCUACUGCUAUCAAGUAACUCAUGUCGCAGAUGGAGGUGGCUCCAGUCAGUCUGUGAAGAACUUUAUUCCUCUGCUCCCUCUAAAUCUCUCUUGAGGAUUGAAAUGAAAAUGUCAUCAGCAGCAGCAGGGAGGAGAAACAACUCCUUGGUCACCUGCGUCAUGGAAAGCACCUGAAUGGUUCUUUGUACUUGUUGAUGGAGGAGCACCAACAUAUCAGCAGGUGACUCCCCACUCUCUAAAAUUGGCUUUAUUUGAAACAAGGUCUCACUAUGUAAUGCAGACAGGCUAGAAGUCAUGCUACUUUCCUGCCUCUAUGCCAAGUAGCAGGACUUCUGAUGUAAGCCCGCAUACCCAUAAAACAUUUGCUUUUGUCUUCUGGAUGAGUUACCUAAUUACCUUGAGCCUCAGUGAAAGGAAACAAAAGAUAUUACCAACAUUUUACCUAAAACUUCGGGAACCCCAGGACAUAUGUUUCUUCCUCAUUGGUGAAAUACCUCAUGCCAUGCACCUUCUGACACUGUUUUAAUUUGGCAUUUAACUGAGACUAAACCAUUUGUGCAUGAAGUUUAUCUCAGUCAGACUAAACUCCCAGAACAAAUCCUGAGGGGUCUGUGCUCAGGACAGUAAACAAUACCAAGAUGGGCAAGGUUUCCUAUCUUCUAUUUUCUCCUUCAGGUUGGCAACUUGCAGCUCUAAGGUCUCCCUAGAAACUUCACUCAGUACUCACAAUGUGAGUGCAAUUGUUCUCUGUGUGGUGCAAGUCAGGGAGAACUGGUUGCUGAGGAGAAAGUCCAUACACACUUGGGUAAAGCAUUCCAUGUUCUCCAUCUCUUCCUGCCUUGGGUACAGUCACAUUAAGCUUCCACUAGAACUCCAAACUCAACACUUCUCCAUGGCUUCACUGGCAAAGGCCCCACCACACAUUCCUUGAGGGACCUGCCUCAAAACUGAGGAAACCUAUGGAGACUCAUGAAGAGAUACUAGGUUAUAGAAUCCCAUGUUUAUAGAUUUCCAUUUUUUUUUUUUUGCUAUUUAACAAGACAUUUGAGUGUUUGGUCUACAUGUAGAUAUAGGCAUUCCCAUGACACCUGAGGUCACCAGAGGUAAUUAGAUCUCCUAGAACUAGAGGGCAGACAUUCGUGAGCCAACAUAUGGGUGCUGAGAACAAAUAUGAUCCCCAAAUUGAGUGACAUUCUCUUUGGCACUGAGCCUUGUCUGGAGCUUUAUGCACUGUCUUUAAAGGAAGUGGUGCUCUGAGGAGCAUGGGAGGUCAGAAUGCUUUGUUUCCUCCUCUUCCUUAGAUCUAUGAACUUGUAUAAGUGAUGACCUGGCCCCUCAGCCUUGUCUUUUACUGAUAGAAUCAACUCACUUAAAACUCUGCAUACCUGGGCCAUGUCAGGCUAGGGUUUGGGUUCUGUCUCUGUCUACAUGUAGGGCCAGCUGUGAUAUGAAAAGAUAAUAACCUCUGUCUUCACUUCGAAUAGACAAGUAAGCUGCAGAGGAAAAACAAUAGAGAAAGAUAUAUUGCGAGAAGUUGAGAAAAUUUGGGUUUCGGGGACAGAUGUGGACUGGAAUGCAGGCAUUGGAAAGAGGACACUUUCAGGUUCACUUCCUUCACCAUUCUAGCCAGAGACAUCCAAGGGGCAGUGGUAAGAAAACUGUGCCCUGCAGUGAUGGAAUGGUCAUCAGUAUGGUUUCCUUGUAUGAUCCAUUUGCUGAGUGUGGACCUGUGGAAAUAGGUGAGAGCCCAUUAUUCUCAGGCACUAAUGGCUCAUGAGCCUCUGGCUGCACUUGAGGAUCAAGUAGGAAUCAUUCAUUCACUACCUAAGAUAUUCCUUCCUGUCAUGUUUAUUUCACAACUUCUAGGCAACCUUGGACUAAUAGUUCAGUUCCUAAAAGUUCAGUAUUGCCUCCAGCUUUGCCCCAUCCUAGGCCCUAUCCUAGAUCCUAAGAGUCAACAGGUUAAUUUAGGAGGCUGGAUGUCCAGGCAACUGAACAAGUAAAUUGCAUGCAGUCAGGCACCCUUAACAGGAUUCAGUGCCCAAGCUGAACACCAUGAGUCUUAAGUAAAAGGGAGGAUCCAUGAGGAGAGAACACUUCAAGCUACUUUCAACAUCUUUUUAUCAUGAAUGAAAAAUUCAGUCCCAUGUAUGAGAAACUUACGUAUUUAUAUUCAGGGAAGCCUGAAGCUCCCUAAAUAGUAUAGAUUAUAAUAUAAGCUAGCACAGUUUCUCUUGGUUACAUAUCAGAAGUGGGUGGUAAGUCACUGUGUUUAAAGGUACUACCAUUUGAUCUUGGCACAGAGAGAAAUACUCUGAAACUUACUGGCAAACUUCCUCCCUGCUGCCUAGCUUUCUCUGUGCAGGGUGGUAUUAUGCAGAAUUCUGGGAGAAAACAGUCAUCAGCGUUCUGACCAGCAGUGGAUUUGCUACGCUGUAAUGCUGACUUGUUGGGGAAGACAUGUCUACAGAUACAAUCAUGGCCCUGUUGCUAUAAUAGUAACCAACACAUUCUGGUUGAGUUUUUGGUCAUUUAACAUAGUGAAUUCAUAUCUGCUGCUCUAAAUCUGGUCUUAAGCAUACCUACUGGUGCUUAACAGACCAUAAGGAGACAUACUACUGUCAUUUUUUUUUUCAUGUCAAACUGCCUCCUAAAUAUAUUUGUGUCCAUAGAUCAGUGCUGCUUUUCCUGUUGGUCAGAGAAACUCCUUUUGCAUGGGGAUUUGUUAAUGCAUAGACUUAUUUACUCCUCAACUUGUUCAGGGAAAAUGUUGAGGGUUUGGCCCCAAAUGAGAUACUGAUAUCAUACAGACACACAAGGAACCUCACCCGUCAGGGGUCAUGUUGUAACAUGAAACAAAAAACAGUAAAAGAGUUGUAGCAGGGGUAGUGCUAUCAAAACCUCUGUUCCAGAAAGCCAUUACACUCAUAAAACCCCAGCAACUAUGGUUACAUCUACUAAAGCUUAACAAAGUGAAGUCCUUUCAGUAUUCAUGUGAUAGAAGCUCCUGCUCCAGCCUUAGUAGAAGAACUAUUGAUAACAACUGUUUGAGGUAUAAGAAGUCGUUUUUUUCUUUAGGAGUAUAGAGAUUUGGAAUUUGCUCAGGAUUCAUAGGAUGUCACAAGAAAGACAUGCAACAACAUGUCUUGAUUAAACACAUCAGGUUCAAGCCACUUGGCUUCCUGGGACAAGGCCUUUGCCACCUAGCCUGACAAGCAGAAUUUAAUCAUAGGAUCUCACAUAGGAGUGGAAAAUACGUAGCACAUACAAGUUCUACUGAAUUCCAAAGAACCUAUACCAUACUCUCACAUAGAAACACAGUAAACACACAUAAACACACACACACCAAGAGAGAGAGAGAGCGAGAGAGAGAGAGAGAGCGAGAGAGAGAGAGAGAGAGAGAGAGAUAGAGAGAGUGAGAGAGAGAGAGAGAGGAUAUAUAUUUUAACAAGACAUGAUAGUAGGAGAUAUUUUUCUCUUUUUAGAAUUGGCAUUUCACAUGGGCUUUACAGAGCAUGCAUAAAAACAGGGAGGAGUAAAUGUGAUCAGGAUACAUUGUAGACUCUGUUCACAUGGGUAUGGGUUAACAUAGGCUUAUUCACUCCCUGAGAUGUUGAGAGCAAGUGUUGAGUCAAUGUCAAAAGAUGAAAUUUAAGUUUUACAAACAUAGUGAUCAAAAAGUCUUUAAUCUUAGCACCUGGAGGCAGGAGUAGAUGUUUUUCUCUCAGUUCCAUAUCAGGCUGGACAAGUGACUUUCAGGACAGACACUGUUUUAUCCUGAGAUCCAGUCAGAGUCAAAAACAAGGGAGACAGAAAGGAGGGAAAUGACAGAGAAGUAAAUAAGAACCUGGACAAGGUUGUUCCCAAGCACCUGCCAAUCCUAUUUGCUGCCAAUCACACCUCUCCUUUAACAUGCUAUGGGACACCUGAUCUGAAACAAGAUUCAACACCUUGACACGACACUUAACUUUUACUGUACAAUUAAAAUAGCAUUUUACAGAAACUAUAAAUCUGUUUGAAAAUAUAAUUAUAUAAAUGAGAGAUUCUGUGAAAUUUGUGGAAAACACCAAUAUGUUCUGAGUAGCUUCACUUCUAUACAGGGUCAAAGAGAAGCACUGAAGGGAAUGGUCAUUUACCAACAGAUCAUAGCUUCUUUGUGUCAGUCUGUCACCAACAGUGAAUUUGUCCUGUCAUUCCUUGUGCAGGACAGUAACUUUGUGUGAAGUAUAUGCAGUCCUCAAUGGUGUGGUCAUAUAAAUUUCAGAGAAAUCACAUGCUAUAGGAAACACGUUCAGGUUUACGAUCUGUAUAUAUUGUUAUCGUACAUCUUGGCAACCUACUAUUCUCAUCGCAGACUCACAUGGAGUUGGAAGUUUGAAGAAUUACUUCAAGUAAGAUGUAAAAUAAGAAGAGCUGUAAAAGUACUAGGAAAUGCUCCAUUGACUCCACCUGCACACUCUUGACCGUGGUCAGAGAUGAUCUGGAAUGGAAUGACUCAGUGCAGAGCAAGAUUUAGGCAGGAUGUUUCUAAGAGACAGAGAAGAGGAAGCCUCAGUGAUUGAGGUCCAUUUGCUUACAUGAAUCCAGCCUAAUGUAAAAGGCCACAGUUGUUCUUGUAUGAAGAAGAGCUUCUCCUCAUUUUCAGCAUAACAAUAAUGUCGGCCUCUUUUCUAGAGUGGAAUUAUGAUGUUAGUCACAUGAUACUCUUCUCCAACCUGCCAAGGCAUAACAACUUGUGACAAUUCUUGGAGGUCUCAGACCCACUCAUAACACUCAUGAAGCCCCAGCCCACACCAUGACAUGAGUCUCAGUGUUUUUUCUCCCUUUGGUGUUUUAAGACCUUGGAUGCUCUUGUCCUUUGCUGAGGUACAGUAUAAAGGAACAGAUGUUGAGUAGAACCUGAGAUGUCCGUCUUGACACCUCCUGCACCUAUGCUCUUCUCUCUAUCAGCCUGAAGGUUUGCUUAGGAGUCCUGAGGUGGUGAGAUAAUUUCCAUUCCAAGGCUUAUCAGAGUAGAUACUCAGACCAGGACCCAAAAGCAAUUGACUGCUCCUUUUCUUUUUACAAAGGACAACAAGACUUUUCCUUACCUUAUGCCUGGUUGUCUGCCUCUCUGCUUUUCAGUCUGCCUUCUUUUUCUUUAAGGCCGUAUAGGACUCUGAUUGUGAGGUUGAUUUUAACUUGCAGGAAGCCUCCAGUCAAUAUGCCAAUGACUGGAAUUACUGUCACUAGCCCCAAUUAAAAUGAAAAUGUCUAACUAUAGCAUUGGCCCAAAUUGUUGAAUAUAAAGGAUUCUGAGAAGCAACCAAAUACAAAGUCAUCAAAUUCAAGACUGACAGGUUUUGUCACUCAUAGCUGCUUCUGGAGGGCCAUAUGUAUGGAAAGACACCCUAGAUAUGUUCCCUGAGAGUCGUGGAAAGGCCAGGGGGAAAAAAGAGCCUCAGAUACAAAGUGUUUAUAUAACUACCAGGCGUCCACACAACACCCUGCACGUCUAGAUUCCUUUCUUGGUGUUCUUCCUCGCUAAGGUGAGGAAUUUCUCACAUAAAUCGUGAGGGAGGGCCACCUGGUGCAGGCCUCUCCUGGUCUCAACUAUGAUCCAAAAAAGAGAAAAAUCUGAGGUGACAGGACCUGGUGUCUGUGAUUAGAACUCAGCCUGGCAGCUUGGGACAGAAAUGCAAAGUCAUUGAGAUUUUCUCCUUCAGCCCCUUCUUAUAAUGGGCAGGUAGUUUUUUCUCCAAACUCUGGAUCCUGUUGUCUGAGAGAUGUGGCCAUUGAUUCUAUUGUUAGCUUGAGUAGAUCGAGGAAUAUUUCUGGAUGCAACUCUUACCCGAUUCUAAAAUUUCUCUGUAUGUGCCCAGACUCAUUGGACAAAGUCCUCUCCUAACUCUGGUGAGCACCAUAAGUAUCCUGUAAGCUAAGCAGCCAGAGAAAUGGAAAACAUUUGCUGUGUCUCUCCUAGCACAGACAGUCUUCUUUGUUCUUAGUUCAUAUCUCCAUAUUUUUGACCUCUGGACUCUGAGGUCUGGACUUGUGUUGUCCUAUGUACUCCUGAGUGUUUCCUUAAACCUAGACUCACCUAAGUGACUUACAGGGUCUUUGACUUCCAGACAUAGAUUGAGCCAAGCUCCAAGCAUUCCUUAGCGUCCACCUUGAAGAAUGCCUGCUGUGGGAAUGGUCAAUCAUAUGGAGCAUUUUCCCAGGAGCUGUGAGGCUAUGAGAGACCCCAUCAUAUAUUAAGAGGUUGGAGACAAGACAAAUAUAUACAGUCUUAUCUCAAGGUCAGACCACCAGAGUCUGUCAGCAGUCAUGGAAUGUUGUAUGGAUGUGGGAGACCAUUUGUGGCCUUAGAAACUCAAGGAAAGCUCAGAAUUUUCUUUACACUCAACUCACAGACACAUCCAGAAAUAUUGCUCUGUCUGCACAAGUGAACAACAAAAACGUUAAGUUGGCCAGACAAAAACAGACAGCACUCGUCACAUGAGGCUCUUAUCAUAGGAGAAUAGUGAAUUCAUGGAGAAGACUGAGGAUGUAGCUGAGAUUCAAUAUUCUCUGUGGGGCUCAGUGCUCCAGAGUGCAGGCACCUUUCUAGCACCUCUACCUUACCUUACUGGUGAGCUUCAGUCUCACUCCUUUGUGGCUGACCCAGAUGUAGGGAGAUAGCUUCUCUACAAGGCUUGUCCAAUUCAGAAACCUGUGGUGACUCACCUGCCCUUUAAAUGAUGACAGUUUUUGCAGCCUCCCUGGCAGAUGGUGGUGUUCCUGGGGCUUCUUCAUCACAUGCUUCCUUUUCUGAAGGCACUACUGGUGGGCUGAAAUUUCUUGUUGGUAGUGAAGACGGCUGAGCUUUCUUUGAUGAUAAAGGGGCUCCAGUGCCCACCUCUCUACCUUUCUGAACCCUAGAGUUUUGCAAAGGAAAGGAAGACCAUUUAGAAAAUGCCCUAAGAAGGAUUUCCAUUAUGUCCUCACAGAAGGCUGCCUUCUGGGCUAGUUCCUCUUCUUUAUUUUUCUGCAGGAAGGGAAAAGGAUUUAGGUCAAUACUGCUACUCUUGGAAGAAAGUCUUGUUAGCACAGACAUGACCCAAGUGUAGUUGUGCUCAGGUCUGACAUCUCAGCCUAUGGUCUGUAUCCCUGGUGUGGGGGAAAAACCUCUACUUCCUCCUUACUCAUAUCUGAAUAUCUGUCUUCAGUAAAGCUAGGUCUCAGUCUUCCUAGUACCACAUUCUGAUGCAUGUGUGUGUGUGUGUGUGUGUGUGUGUGUGUGUGUGUGUGUGUGUGUGUGUGUGUGUGAGUGUGUGGGCACAGUGGUACUCAAGUGCAUGUGGAGGUUUUUCAUGGAAUCACGCACUUCACUAAAGCAGCACAAGACAGUCCUAGGAACAGACAAAGUAGUUUACACUCAAUCUUGUCGCCUUGCUCCUCCUCACGGACCUUUUGCCACUUAACUUUUAUAUUCUUCCCUUGAUUCCUUAGAAUGUUCUUCUUCAGCUCCUCUGCCCUCUCAAAAACUUUGUUUAUAGUCUGCAAUACAAUACCAAAAUGGGGAAUUAGCACAGUUCUAAUGCCAGAAAAGAGGCAAAGAAAACAUGUAGGGAGAGGCAGCAUUAUCUCACGCAUGACUUGAACUCCAUUCCCUCCCAUUCCCUCCUCUGUACUGAUCUCCUGAGGCAGCAUUUCCUCCCCUUCCACACACUGUCAGCAUCUGUGGCUUUUCUUUGUGCAGCAUAUACUGCUCUGGAGAUAUUUGCUCAACCACAUAGAGAUGAAGACCCAUUUUGUUGAUCUUCACUCAUUUACCACUGAUAAUUCUGUUCCUUGGAUAGUUUUCCACAUAGAGUCUAAAGGAAUAGAGCAGAAUGACAAGGCUAUGCAGAGAAAUUCAAAUGUCUAAAUGAGGCCUUGAGGAAAUUUGGCCUCUGUAUGCACGGUUUUAGAUGCUCCUGGAGUUUAAAAAGGCACACCCUGUAAUCCCACAUCCAAUACCAUUUCUGUACCUGGAGAGAGACGUAUACCUAGUCUUCCACUAAACUGGCACAUUCAGCGAACAUAGCAUAGCUAGACUGACAUAGUACAUGUUUGACAUCUAAGUACUAAGAAGAGACCAGGUAGACCCACAGAGCCUUGAGGAAACAGGUUCUACUCCCUAACUUCAAACUAAAAAGCAAAGACAAUGGUCUCUGUCUUCCAUUCUCAAUCAUGAUUUGAACCCUUGCACACAGCACCUCUGGAUAUUGCUUAGCUGAUGUGCACCACCUCACCUCACAGAUCAUUAUGUAAUGAGAGGACACACUGAGGUACUUAAUGCUGGAGUCACUGGUGGUACUUAGUGCUGUGGGCAUCUAGUCAGAUGCUGCACCUAAGGAUGUUGCUAAACUGCUUCAACCCUCAUAUCUGUCCAAGAUUCAAAAAAGAUUCUCAUCCCAGUCAAAAACUCUACUUACGAAGAGCUUAUGACCAGAAACUCAGUAUGGAAAGCUGAUGUUUUGGAGGACAUAUGAGUCCCUAGGAAGAGAGAUUUGUUUUUGGAACAGGGAAGAAAUGAAGGGAGAUUACUAUGAUCUUAAGAGAAUACCUGCAACUUACUGAAAACCACCAGUGCACACCAAAGAGAACCCCAGUUCUAGGAGUUGAACAACAUGGAUAAUGCAAACUGUGCUACUACCUAAGCUCAUCUGUAAACCAGAGCUUUGUUCUCUGAGAGUAUUCUGCACACAGUCUGCUGGAGAUGACUGAAGGCAUGUCCAGAAAAUCCCUCCCCAGCUCCACAGUCCCUGAGUGCCUGAGUCAUGUGCAUCUCCAUAUGUUCUAUUUGACCAAACUCAGGGCCAUUCAAGCUUGGUGUGACAUUUUGUUUUAUUCUGUUAUGCAAAUACAAAGCACCCUUGUCACUGAGACUAUAUGUGUUAUUUCCUGAAGACAACACUGCAAUUCAUUUUUUCUUCUUCUUACCCAAUAUAGUGAAUAUUUUGUGGGAGCCAAAGAGUGCUUAACCACACUAACUCCAAGUUAUACACUAUCCUCUCAUGAAUGUGUAGCUACAGGAAGGCCUACCUGUGCCCUCAUGUAACUCAGUAAGUUUGACCACCCAUCAGAGAUAAUUCUGUAUAUGUCUGAAAGUAGAUUUGGAAGUCUAAAUACUCACAAGGUCAGAUACACCCUGCUUUCCUGCCACCUUUCCUUCCCCUGAGAGCUGUACUACGUGUGCACAAGGCUUACAAACUAAGUGUACUACUAGUGAAAUUCCUUAUUUAUGAUAUCACCACCUUUGGUCCUCAUGUCUUUGGAUUGCAAGAAAAAGCAUAUGUGUGCAUUGCCAGAAAUCUGAUUAAAAGUUGACAUCCUCGAGUUCCAUAACCGUGAGCAAAGGAGAUAAUCUAUAUAGAAAAGCAGGUUGAGUAAGGGAAGUGUCCCAGGAAAGGAGACAGAAACUGUAGGUUUCACACGUGAGAAAUUUGAUAGAGCACAAAGGCUAAUUCUACUUGUCCACAUUUAUCCUGGUUGGCUGCCACUUUGGAGAGGUUUUUCCUCAGCCUCAUGUAAGUAGCCAACGAAAUAUUGUUGAUUUCAGUGUUCUGCCCAAGAGCACUUAAGAUUUGGGGAAGAUCUUGGGGAAGGAGAGUGACAUCAUGGUGCCUACAUAUAUUCUAAGACAUACAAGACAGGAAAACAUCAAAACCCAUCUUCUACCAUGCU